rnacentral:rRNA from 1 species
UGGGGAAUUUUGGACAAUGGGCGCAAGCCUGAUCCAGCAAUGCCGCGUGCAGGAUGAAGGCCUUCGGGUUGUAAACUGCUUUUGUACGGAACGAAAAGCCUCUCUCUAAUACAGGGGGGUGAUGACGGUACCGUAAGAAUAAGCACCGGCUAACUACGUGCCAGCAGCCGCGGUAAUACGUAGGGUGCAAGCGUUAAUCGGAAUUACUGGGCGUAAAGCGUGCGCAGGCGGUUUUGUAAGACAGUGGUGAAAUCCCCGGGCUCAACCUGGGAACUGCCAUUGUGACUGCAAGGCUGGAGUGCGGCAGAGGGGGGAUGGAAUUCCGCGUGUAGCAGUGAAAUGCGUAGAUAUGCGGAGGAACACCGAUGGCGAAGGCAAUCCCCUGGGCCUGCACUGACGCUCAUGCACGAAAGCGUGGGGAGCAAAACAGGAUUAGAUACCCUGGUAGUCCACGCCCUAAAACGAUGUCAACUGGUUGUUGGGGAUUUAUUUCUUCAGUAACGAAGCUAACGCGUGAAGUUGACCGCCUGGGGGAGUACGGCCNCAAGGUUAAAACUUAAAAUGAAUUGACGGGGUCAUAGCUGUUUCC